rnacentral:rRNA from 1 species
GAACGCUGGCGGCGUGCCUAAUACAUGCAAGUCGAGCGAACAGACGAGGAGCUUGCUCCUCUGACGUUAGCGGCGGACGGGUGAGUAACACGUGGAUAACCUACCUAUAAGACUGGGAUAACUUCGGGAAACCGGAGCUAAUACCGGAUAAUAUAUUGAACCGCAUGGUUCAAUAGUGAAAGACGGUUUUGCUGUCAAUUAUAGAUGGAUCCGCGCCGCAUUAGCUAGUUGGUAAGGUAACGGCUUACCAAGGCAACGAUGCGUAGCCGACCUGAGAGGGUGAUCGGCCACACUGGAACUGAGACACGGUCCAGACUCCUACGGGAGGCAGCAGUAGGGAAUCUUCCGCAAUGGGCGAAAGCCUGACGGAGCAACGCCGCGUGAGUGAUGAAGGUCUUCGGAUCGUAAAACUCUGUUAUUAGGGAAGAACAAAUGUGUAAGUAACUAUGCACGUCUUGACGGUACCUAAUCAGAAAGCCACGGCUAACUACGUG